UGCCAGCCGCCGCGGUAAUACGGAGGGUGCAAGCGUUGUUCGGAAUUAUUGGGCGUAAAGCGCACGUAGGCGGAGACGCAAGUCGGGUGUGAAAUCCCUCGGCCUAACCGAGGAACUGCGCCCGAAACUGCGUUUCUUGAGGACAGUAGGGGAGCGUGGAAUUCCUGGUGGAGCGGUGAAAUGCGUUGAUAUCAGGAGGAACACCGGCGGCGAAGGCGACGCUCUGGACUGUUUCUGACGCUAAGGUGCGAAAGCUAGGGGAGCGAACAGGAUUAGAUA
rnacentral:rRNA from 1 species